AUGAGUGGCAGGGGAGAGUCUCGCUCCGGCGAGCGCCGAAGGGGCAAGCACCCGCAAUCUCUCAGGCACAAGGACUCUGCCGCUCGG
rnacentral:ncRNA from 2 species